rnacentral:ribozyme from 1 species
ACGAGCGGGACGAGGACGUGCUUGCUGACAUCGAGGAGGAUGAGGAGGAGGAGGCCUUCGCGGCGCGGCUGGCGGAGGGGCUGCUCAAGGGCGCCCGCGGCCACCAGCCG